GAGAGAAAGAAGCCCACACCAAGGGUUGUCCCAGGCUCCCGGUGUGUUUGCUACUGCUUGCUGCACAGAGUUCCGACAGGGUCCUCCCUUAACAAGCAAAGAGGAAAAUCAUCUCUGUUGCGAUGCCAGUGUGACUCGGCAAAGUUGCAUCUAGCGUGCGCGUCUGUCCUGGCUGAGGGGGGCUGAGAGAGGCUUUGCUGCCCUUUUCCCCCUUGAAUACGAGUUUCUCGUGACUUUCCACCACCCUGAACUCACAAUGAUCCGUCAAGGACCUUCUCCUAUUUCCCUCCCAGCACCAUCCUAAUUUCCUCCCUUCAGUGGCUUCUCUCCUGUUCAUGAUCACUUUAUCCCUUCCUGGACCAGAGGAAAUAACGAGAGACAGUGCCUCCUCCGCUGAAAAUCCACAGCCAGGCAUGGACCCCUCCCCACCACCUCCUACUAUGGUACUUAAAGACCUCACCAUGAAAAACUGGAUUGCAUAAAGGACUGCUCCUGGACAGAGACCCCUGGCUUGUUAUAUUUGCACAACUGGACAGUUUUCAUGGCAUAGAUUGGAUGGACUCUGUCAGUGACAGGAGGCAAUGUCCCUCCUGAAGGAGGGGAAGGGAGUCUCUUCACUAGCAAAUACUCCAGCCAUUGGGGAAAAAAAAAAGAUCCUGUGAUUCCAACCAUGGAACUGCUACUCAAAACAACUACAAGAAAGAGGAAGUAGAGACCACGCGAGGUAUUUCCGUGUAAGACUGUUCCACCUUGAGAAAAGAAGCAAAAUGUGGAAAUGGGUCCUUCGCUGGAGAAUGGAUUAAAGAGUCUUUGGUCUCCUUCUGAAUUGUGCUACUUAAUUUAUCAUCACCACCAUCAUCAUCAUCUUUGUUGUCAUCAUCUCCAUCACCCGUGCUUCCUACAUGCCAGAAGUGUUGUGUUCCCUGGUUGAUCUCAUUUAAUUCUUCUGACAGCAAUAUGAGGCCUUGGCAGCUAUGCAGAGCAUUGCAGUGAGAAGCUGCUGUCUUGGGGGAGCUUUACUGCUUUUGGAGAUUUAAUACUGAUCUUGAACUUGAGGUGUGUCUGCAUGAACUUCUAUGCACCAGAAACUUUCAUUUCAAUGCUGAAAUGUGGGGUAAGAUUUUGGUGAAAUUUUAAACAAAUUUAGGGAACUACCUUAAGUAAAUUCAACCAGGUAUCACAUGCAGUCUUACUUUGGAAUUGUGAAAAAAAAAUAAUAAUAAGAGUGGAAAUAUGGAAGAGAAUGCAAUAGCUACAACAGCAUAAACAUUGACUAUUAAGAAUCAAAAUAAUAUUCAUAAAAAAUAUUCAUUAAGUUAGGUGUCAACAUUUGUAAGAAAUGCACUGUUCCUGGCUUCGAGGUGGAAGAAGGCCGCCACAAGCUAAGGAAUGUGGGCCGCAUCUAGAAGCUGGAAAAGGCAAGAAAACAGUCUCCUCUAGAGCCUCUAGAAGGAAUACAGUCCUGGUGACACCUUGGUCUUGGCCCAGUGAGACCCAUAUCAGAUUUCUAACCUACAGAACUAUAAGAUAGUACAUUUAUGUUUUCUUAAGCCACUAGGUGUGUAAUCAUUUGUUACAACAGCCACAGGAAAGGAAUGCAUGUAUGGUUCUCUACAUUUUUGGUCUCUGCAGAGACAGGGUGGAUGGGGCCAGGAGACUAGCUCUGGCACUUAGAAUGGGGGAUGGGUGUGAUUUGCCCCCUACCUGGGCAAUGUGCCAUGACCUCUCUCUCUGGUGGUUGGACAGCUGAAUGCAGAGGGUCAGUAGAGGGUCAAGGAGGCUCUAGUGGAUGGCAGAGUCGCUGUUUGCAAGGAGCCUUGAAUCUGAAGUCACCACUUGAAAGAGUGUUGCCUCUGGGAGCUGCCCCAACCAAAUGCAUGAGUCUUAAUCCCCUGAGUUCCCAGAGUUCAUUUUUCCCUGCAGCAGAGCUGCUUCUAGUCUAACUCCAGAAUCUCCAAAUCAGAUUAUUUUUUCUUUUUAAAAAAUUUUUAAAGAGUUUUUUUUCUUUUUUUUUUUUUUUAAGGGAUCAAACUUCUACAUGGGCAAAGUCAGAACUUUGUUGGGCUUCCUUAGCCUUAGUUUGUAAUUCAGUCUUUUUAAAACUUCACGUAGCACAUGGAGAGCAUUGUAAUCAAAUUUCUAUACUUAGGGCUUGUGACGGUCUUAAACCAGUGCUACUUUCUUGGCCACGGAGGCACCCACAGCCUCACAGUGCAGACAGACAGCUCAUUGGUCUCUUACAGGCUCUUCUGGCCUUUUCCUAAAUAUGCUCUCCAGUGCCAUAAAUUUCUACUUUUGUCCAGAGAUUCCUUUUUCUUGGAAUAUGUACCCCACCCCUUCCUUUAAGCUCAGCUCAAUUCCAUCUCCUUCAAGAUGCCUUUCUAGAUUCUCCAAGGAAUAUGAAUUUCCUUCCUCCAUGAUUCCCUGUGAUCUUUCGUAAUACUUAUUAAUGGAUCCCUGUCCUCUCUACCCAAGUACACACACAGGCACAUCCUAAAAUGUAGCUUCUAGAAGGCAAAUAUCAUCCCAGGCUCACUGUGGUCCUUCACCAUAAGAUAGUGCUUUAGGGCAGUAAAUGCUCUGUGCAUUUGCAAAUUUUAGUAAAACCUCUGUGGCUGGUGGAAGAGUUUUGUUUUGUUUGUUUAAGCAGACAGGAUCACGUGGUGCCUUUUAUAUUAUCAUAUAGGACUGGUCCAUUUAUAUAGAGCAAGGGUCCCCCAAGAUUCCUUGUUCAUCAAAAUCUGAAUGACUAAACCAGGCACUGUGCUAAAGGGCCGGAGCACCACGUACCCUGUGGAACUAUCAAAUGUCACCCACUAGGACAGCUGCAAACCACAUAUAGAGUGUACCUACUACGUACCAGACUUUUGGGCAGGUGAUCAACAUCAGCCUGAGCCUCUGGCCAGUCCUUCACUUUCUAGGACUUCUUCCCUUUCAGGGAAAUUUGGCCUCCCAGCAUCUGGGGAACAAGCUGCUUAUUUGCUAAUAUCUGUUUGCACAUCAGGGUUUCUUACUUUUAGGAACAGUUUGUCUCUCUGGCAGAUCUCCGUGUUCCCAUACCAUUGUUUAUGAUGUAACUAAGCAUCUAUCGUAUAGAAUUGAACUCAAUUCUCUUUUGAAACUGCAAGAGAUCUAACCCGCUCAUUUUCUUUCCAUUUAACAUACGAGAGGGGUGUGUAGGAGCAGUUUAUUAAGGGGGAGCUGUUUAUUGAGGGAUCCUGGGGCUAAUCCCAGCCCAUUAUUUCUCCAUUUCCUUACAGCUCACUGAGAAGGGUGGGAGAGAACAGGAAUGGGGAGACUAUUCUUUCCUGAGUGAUUGUUUGGCCAAUCCACAGGGAUCCUGACUUUCUUACACCCAUCAGGGAAGUAGCAUCCAGAGGGUCAUUCCAGGGACAGGGCUGGCUGUGUCAGGCUGUAAUGAAUGGUUCAGACUGAGAAGUGGAACUUGGCCAACAACAGGGAAAGACAAUAAUCAUUGGAAAAUUUAGGCAUUGAGAAUAAGAUCCAUGUCUGUCUUAUGUCCCCUGGGUACCAACACAAUGACUUGGCUUAGUAACUGCCCCAUAAUGUUUAAAUUAUGUUCAGUGAAUGAGUGAAUGAAUGGAUGCCGUAUUCUUGCUUCCUUCUCCAAACACUCUUUAUAAAAUUACGGCAUCUCAUUCAUGUCUCCUCUAUAAAUCGGGAAUUUGGUGAGGCAUGCUGUUUAUUGCUUAGGAAUCAUUUUACUUAAUCACAAAGGUCCCAGGGGUUCAGGCGGGGAAAAAAAAAAAACAAACAGGUUUGGGAGAAAGAGUAGGAUAGGAUCUUCCUAGAGAUUUUUCUUUCCUUUUUCUUUAAUGGGCGCACCCAUGGAAGAUGGAAAUUCCCAGGCCAGGGAUUGAAGCCCAGCCUCAGCUGUGGCCAGAUCCUUUAACCCACUGCACCAGGCUGGGGAUUGAACCUGCACCUCGACAGUGACCCAAGCUGCUGCAGUGGGAUUCUUAACCCAAGGUGCCACAGCACAGUGAGGCUAGAGCCCCACUUCAACUCCUAUAGCGUUGAAAGCUCUAUAGGAGUUUCUGUUAUGGCUCAGUGGUAACAAACCCUACUAGUAUCCAUGAGGACGCUGGGUUUGAUAAGCGGGUUAAGGCUCUGGUGUUGCCGUGAGCUGUGGCGUAGGUCACAGACACGGUUCAGACCUGCUGUUGCUAUGGCUGUGGUGUAGGCUGGCAGCUACAGCUCCAAUUCGACCUCCAUCCUGGGAACUUUCAUAUGCUGCAGGUUUGGCCCCCAAAAAGACCAAAAAAAAAAAAAAAAAA
rnacentral:lncRNA from 1 species